rnacentral:rRNA from 1 species
UGGGGAAUAUUGCACAAUGGGCGCAAGCCUGAUGCAGCCAUGCCGCGUGUGUGAAGAAGGCCUUCGGGUUGUAAAGUACUUUCAGCGGGGAGGAAGGGAGUAAAGUUAAUACCUUUGCUCAUUGACGUUACCCGCAGAAGAAGCACCGGCUAACUCCGUGCCAGCAGCCGCGGUAAUACGGAGGGUGCAAGCGUUAAUCGGAAUUACUGGGCGUAAAGCGCACGCAGGCGGUUUGUUAAGUCAGAUGUGAAAUCCCCGGGCUCAACCUGGGAACUGCAUCUGAUACUGGCAAGCUUGAGUCUCGUAGAGGGGGGUAGAAUUCCAGGUGUAGCGGUGAAAUGCGUAGAGAUCUGGAGGAAUAACGGUGGCGAAGGCGGCCCCCUGGACGAAGACUGACGCUCAGGUGCGAAAGCGUGGGGAGCAAACAGG